rnacentral:rRNA from 1 species
GAUGAACGCUGGCGGCGUGCCUAAUACAUGCAAGUCGAGCGAACGGACGAGAAGCUUGCUUCUCUGAUGUUAGCGGCGGACGGGUGAGUAACACGUGGAUAACCUACCUAUAAGACUGGGAUAACUUCGGGAAACCGGAGCUAAUACCGGAUAAUAUUUUGAACCGCAUGGUUCAAAAGUGAAAGACGGUCUUGCUGUCACUUAUAGAUGGAUCCGCGCUGCAUUAGCUAGUUGGUAAGGUAACGGCUUACCAAGGCAACGAUGCAUAGCCGACCUGAGAGGGUGAUCGGCCACACUGGAACUGAGACACGGUCCAGACUCCUACGGGAGGCAGCAGUAGGGAAUCUUCCGCAAUGGGCGAAAGCCUGACGGAGCAACGCCGCGUGAGUGAUGAAGGUCUUCGGAUCGUAAAACUCUGUUAUUAGGGAAGAACAUAUGUGUAAGUAACUGUGCACAUCUUGACGGUACCUAAUCAGAAAGCCACGGCUAACUACGUGCCAGCAGCCGCGGUAAUACGUAGGUGGCAAGCGUUAUCCGGAAUUAUUGGGCGUAAAGCGCGCGUAGGCGGUUUUUUAAGUCUGAUGUGAAAGCCCACGGCUCAACCGUGGAGGGUCAUUGGAAACUGGAAAACUUGAGUGCAGAAGAGGAAAGUGGAAUUCCAUGUGUAGCGGUGAAAUGCGCAGAGAUAUGGAGGAACACCAGUGGCGAAGGCGACUUUCUGGUCUGUAACUGACGCUGAUGUGCGAAAGCGUGGGGAUCAAACAGGAUUAGAUACCCUGGUAGUCCACGCCGUAAACGAUGAGUGCUAAGUGUUAGGGGGUUUCCGCCCCUUAGUGCUGCAGCUAACGCAUUAAGCACUCCGCCUGGGGAGUACGACCGCAAGGUUGAAACUCAAAGGAAUUGACGGGGACCCCGCACAAGCGGUGGAGCAUGUGGUUUAAUUCGAAGCAACGCGAAGAACCUUACCAAAUCUUGACAUCCUUUGACAACUCUAGAGAUAGAGCCUUCCCCUUCGGGGGACAAAGUGACAGGUGGUGCAUGGUUGUCGUCAGCUCGUGUCGUGAGAUGUUGGGUUAAGUCCCGCAACGAGCGCAACCCUUAAGCUUAGUUGCCAUCAUUAAGUUGGGCACUCUAAGUUGACUGCCGGUGACAAACCGGAGGAAGGUGGGGAUGACGUCAAAUCAUCAUGCCCCUUAUGAUUUGGGCUACACACGUGCUACAAUGGACAAUACAAAGGGCAGCGAAACCGCGAGGUCGAGCAGAUCCCAUAAAGUUGUUCUCAGUUCGGAUUGUAGUCUGCAACUCGACUACAUGAAGCUGGAAUCGCUAGUAAUCGUAGAUCAGCAUGCUACGGUGAAUACGUUCCCGGGUCU